UACGGAGGGGGCAAGCGUUGUUCGGAAUUACUGGGCGUAAAGGGCGUGUAGGCGGCGGUUUUAGUCAGGCGUGAAAGCCCGGGGCUCAACCUCGGAAUAGCGCUUGAUACUGAACUGCUUGAGACCGGAAGAGGGUAGUGGAAUUCCCAGUGUAGAGGUGAAAUUCGUAGAUAUUGGGAAGAACACCAGUGGCGAAGGCGGCUACCUGGUCCGGAUCUGACGCUGAGGCGCGAAAGCGUGGGGAGCAAAC
rnacentral:rRNA from 1 species